rnacentral:rRNA from 1 species
AGAAUGAACGCUGGCGGCAUGCCUAACACAUGCAAGUCGAACGAGACCUUCGGGUCUAGUGGCGCACGGGUGCGUAACGCGUGGGAAUCUGCCCUUGGGUUCGGAAUAACAGUGGGAAACUACUGCUAAUACCGGAUAAUGACGUAAGUCCAAAGAUUUAUCGCCCAGGGAUGAGCCCGCGUAAGAUUAGCUAGUUGGUGGGGUAAAGGCCUACCAAGGCGACGAUCUUUAGCUGGUCUGAGAGGAUGAUCAGCCACACUGGGACUGAGACACGGCCCAGACUCCUACGGGAGGCAGCAGUGGGGAAUAUUGGACAAUGGGCGAAAGCCUGAUCCAGCAAUGCCGCGUGAGUGAUGAAGGCCUUAGGGUUGUAAAGCUCUUUUACCCGGGAAGAUAAUGACUGUACCGGGAGAAGUAAGCCCCGGCUAACUCCGUGCCAGCAGCCGC